CUGAAGAAACCAUCUUCCCUAGGGCUGAGAUUCAGUUCAGACACGAGCUUGCUCCGUAGAGGUCUUUUCCUGAAAAGACACUGCCAACUGAGUCGUAAGCCCUGGAAACAUUUCUGCCUGCAUCGAUAGCAAAGCGUGAAGUAUGUACCAGGGGGAUGUUGAGGAUUUAGCCUUCUGUGCCAUUCCUCCCUCGGCUCUCAUAAGCAAAGCAAACAAAUUCUUUGUGUCUUAGAAGACUCGGGUAAUUCAGCCAACUUGAGUCGUUUCCUCGCAGGCCUGGCUUUUCACCUGGGGGACGAGGUUUGCUGAUCCUACCCAGGUUAAAAUGACUGAAAAUCAAUGUGGUUUGACAGCUGUGGGAAAAAAAUAAAUAAAUGGAUGUACAAACUGUUGAGCAACAAAGGCUCUUCAAGUGGAUACAAAGUGAGGCACAAAAGGAAACUGUUGUCUGUGAUCUUCCUUACAGGCUCUUCGUUCAUGGCGGUCUGGCCAGUCCCAGCCCCGUCUGAUGGGGUUGGUCUGACACUUCCAUAGUGCUUUCCACUUCCUCACAUGCUCUGCUCAGGAAGAAGACACAGGCAGUGCCUUCACCUCUCCCCUGUCCUUGGGUGGCUGAGCCGGGAACGCCAAACAGAAGAACUGUUCCUUGAGGAUAAAUCUUCAUUUCUCUCAUGUGAAGAACUAUGCCGAGAUCUGCCCGUGGAAAAUUACAUUCUAGAAGCAAGAAUCACAAAGGACCUUUGCUUUCAGACUUUUCUUCAAGAGGUCCACAGCAUAAUGAGCAGAAUGGAAUGAAGUGUAUUAACCUUUGAAAGAUGAAAGGAAAGUUGUAUAUCAAGACACAACAAUUUGCAAAGUUUUCAAGUAUUCAAGUAACAAAGGGCAUGCAAACUAUCCUAUGGGUAAAUGAUCCUCGCUGAGGAAACAAAGUUAUGUCCUCGUGGUGAAUGGCCACAGAAAGGUUCUUCCCAACCAGAGGCUGAUGACACAUCCUACCCUGUCCUUCAGGAUUUGGUGAAGACUUUGCUGUAAACAGGCAUGAAAGGACAAGGAAUAAUCAGACAAGAACAAAAUAGAAAGCAAACAUAAGAAGUCUUUGCUUUAAUGAAAGCAUGUUGUGAUAGGCUGAUCAGAAAACUCCUCUGGGGUUCAACUGCAUGUGCCCUGGGAUUGAAGAAGGACCAGCACUGCAACAGAGAAGUAUUAAAAUUUCCUCCUCCGCAAGGCAGGAAGAGCAGACACAGCCCUGGACUUCCUCUCCCAGAUCCUUCCUGACCAGGGUGCCCUGCUCCAAGGGAGGAGCCGUGACCUUCAAAGGCCGUGUCUUGGCACAUCAGGACAUACUCGUGUGCACAGCACACGCUCGUUGUUCUGGUGCAAAACAGAAUAUCAGCCAUUAACUUCUGCAGCUAAUUACUGGAUUUCACAACCAACUCUUCAGAAACAGCUACAAGAAUUUGGUUAAACCUUUCUACUGAGCUCUGGGUAAGGGUUUCCAUGCAGCAAGAGAAGAAUCACUGUAUAAAUCACAGUUUCUUCUCUUCAGGAAAGCAAGGAAUCCUCAGCUCAUCUGUAUCAGCUCACCUAUAGCAGCAAGCAAGGUGACAGAGCUGGGACUUAUUCCUUGGCAUGGGAUGUUUGUUUGUCAGGCCAGGAGUUGGGAACUCAUAUCUGCCUGUACAUAAGAUUUGUACUCCCUUGCAUGGCUAAAGCAAGUUAAAAACCAUCCUGGCUCAUACUUGUGGAAAUUCCAUGGUGGUGGUGGCUUGAAAAGUGGGGUACUAAUUAGAAACCAGUUCUUGUUACAGUGACAAAUGUGAAGAGACCUUAAAGCAAAAUUACGGGAAAAGUGGUGUAGGUUGGACCGUGAAAGAAUCACUAGAAAUAGUUUCUGCCUAUCAAGGUAGUGCAAUCCACUGAAAACCUCAUGUUUGCACUGAUAAUUAAUUCCUUGACUCCCCAUUUCCAGAGUGAAUCUAUAAAAAAACCCUGCUCACACUUCUCCCCUACCACAUCACAUUUCAAAUCUAUACAGCUUUAGCAGAGCUAGUUCAAAGCAGAAACCCAAGGACAAUACCAAAGAGCUGCUGUUUCCUGCAAGUCUUCUGCCUACUCAUGAUGCACCAAUUUAUGAAGCUGACAAAACUCACCAGUAAAACGUGAAGACCAUGAAAGUGUAAUGUGUAAUACCCAGCAAAACAAAACGACUCUUUUAUCUCUGACUAUUUGGUUUAACGACCGUAGCAAGGGUGUACACAAAUUUUCAGAAAUAUACUUAAUGCAUAUGCCUCUCCACUAAGGGCUGGCAGAACUGAGGUGGCAUCCAGAACCUCUGAUGUCCUCAGAACUGAAUGUUCUGCUUCUCAGGUGAUAAACUGUCCAUUAAUGUGGUGAUAGAAAUUGAGUGUCAUAUUUAAUGAGAAAACAAUUCCUAGGACACUUACCUGUUACCUUUCCAGCGUGUGAAAACUGGUUCCUUUGUAUUGUUUUAUUGUCUGUGCUCCUGCCAAGUGUGUAAGAUGGCACCAAGUGACCCCAAACAAACUUGAAGUACACAGGGAGAGGAUUAAUCAGUCAGGCACUUAGGCAUAAGCUUCAUGUUAAGCAUGCAACAUAAUGUUGUUAAAGUGAAUGUAGUGGUAUUAUUUGUAUGUUUAAAGUUAACCACUGAACUUAUCUGUUGUACUAUAUCAGUGCCUAAUAGCUUGUGCACUUACUUGCAAAUUUAAGAUACUUAAUGUGUUUAUUCUGGACUCUUCCUGUUGUUGUGCAUGUGAAAUUGUUGCCCUCAACCAAGCAGGGUAGCACAGCCCUACAGCAGCAGUGCAGGCCAGCUCUUCCUCAGCCACGGACAGAGUGACAGUAGGGAGCUGGAUGUGGGCAGGGAAAUGCUCACAGCAGCUCUGCAGCAGCUCUCCAGCAGCAGAUCAGGUUUUUCAGAGCCCUCAAGCAAAGGUACUUAGUUCUGUCAUUGUGGUUUCUCUGCUGCUGUUCAGAGACAGAAGAGCUGAGCUCUGGUCAUUCUUCACUCAUGGAUGUUCUCCAUUUGUGCCAGCCCUCUCACCUCAUCCAUAGUCUAUUUUGCUGUCACAACUCUUCUUCUCUGUGCAUGCAGAGGUCAUGGACCCCAAGACCUAGAAACAUGAAAUCUCCAUGUAAGAGUGGCAUGUGAGCUGGACCACCCCACCUGGCUCCUGCUUGGUUUGUAUGGAAGGAUGAUCUGGGGAGAUUUAGGCAAUAAACCAAUAUUGCCACCCACUAAUAACCAAAAAAUAAAUGUUCCUGAGUGAUGUACUCAGCACCUUCUAUUCUCACCGAAGUAAGUAGUUCCUUUGGGACUACUUUCAUGUGUCUUUAGGGAACGUAACCAAAUUAUACCACAUGAGAGCCGGUAAUUUUAAUGUUAUGCUCUAAGGGGAAAACUAUAAACAUAACAGGAAAGACUGGAUGUUUUCCAUUCAUAAUUUUAGAAAGGUUUCUUCUCAUCUGUACAUAUUAGCUUUUCAACAUCUCUGGCAAGAUUUAAAUGAAUUAUUUAACUGGAACUGAAAAGCAGGUCUUACUUUUAAAUUAAGGUGAUAAAAGCUGUUGUAUUUUUUUAAUUUUUAAAAUAUUACUGUAGAAGAUAAAGAUCAAAACCAGACCCAAGAAGCGAUAAGGCCAAGAAAAUACCCAGCCUAUAACCUCCUGGCAGGAGCUGGAAUAAUUUGGAGAAAUGACUGGCUGCGAUCCGAAGCACGGUCAGUAGAGAUUGGAGAAUCCAGAGGUUUUAAUCGGAAGCAUUUCCAUGUUGUGUCAGUCUUUUGUGACCGGGAGUGCAGGGUGUGUGGAGCUGGGAGUGGUGCAAGGCCGUGUCAAGGAGCUCCUGCUGCAAGAGGCACGCCAAGUUUUGUGCAAAACACGGAGGAAAGCUGAGAAAAGGCCUUGUGAAGAAAGAUCAGCUUGAAAUUUCGGUUCCUUCUCCUCCAUCAGUAGGAAAUGUGUAAGGUAUGGUGAGCCAGGACCCAGCAGGAGAUUUUUGGUUCAGAAACCAAAACUGGUCUGGGAGAAGCACUCAGGCAGUCAGGUGAGUAGGGAUUUGGCCAGUGUGAAAACAGGGAUGUUUUUACAAGCUAAACUGACCCCCUGGAGGGCAGCAAGCGUGGUGUGUCUUGUAUGAGAGGUGGUAGCACCCACUCCCUGCUCCACACAGCUGAAAACUCCUGUUUCCUUGGAUGAGGGAUCUACUUUACUGGAAAAGUCAAUCAUCUGAAUUAUAGACCAGGAGAGUUUUUAUCCCCACAUCCACCAUCCCCCAAAAAACCUCUCCCCAGUAUUUCCAUGCUUCCCCUUUUGCCAUUAAGAUGAGAUUUUCCCCUGCAACUGAACAGUAAGUGCUUCAUAAACAGUUCCUCCGUCUGCAAGUGGACCUUGAAAAUUGAUUAUUUUUUGUUUGUUUCUUUUAGUCUCCAAAUGUUUCUGCCAUUAUAAGGCAGGCAGUUAUUUUGCCAGGAAGGAAUGUGAAGAAUUAGAAAAGUUGAAAGCGAUUAGGACUCUUGUCUUUUAAGACAGAGCCUUUCACAAAGCCUGGCAUUCAGCCUGCUCAGAGUGAGCAUCAUAAGACACCCUGAAGCCUUGAAAUCCCUCAGUUUCAAACCCCAUGGGGUGGCUUUUGCAUUAUCAGGGAAGAGAUGAUAUUGCAGAGACUAUUUUCUUCAUAUUUUAAAGGCCUCUGAGUUAAUAUUUAUUCUAAGUAGAUGUUUAUUUUUGGGUACUUUUAUUGUUUAUAGGAAGGCCACAAAGAGUUCAAUGUUAUGGAGAAAUGGUUACUUUGUAUUUAUGGUUGAAGAAAAAUAAGAAGAAAAAAAAAAAGAAAGUUCCAAACAAUCCUGCCCCAGUUCUUUAUUUCAGGAGACAAUGUACUUUCCACCCAUGCACAGGCAGUGCUUUACAGGCUGUAUAAUAAAAUGCUGUUCCAGAUAUUGUCUAAAUAGAAACAGAUUUAACCCUGCUGUUGUGACUUGCAUUGCUGGGUAAUGAAAGUUUUCAAUCUGGUUUUACUUUGUUUUAUGCUUGCUGGAGAACUGCACAUCCAAAAAAUCCUGCCUCGUGCACAGAGACCUGUUGUUCCAAUGCCAUCUGUUUGUAUAUAAAAGGUGAACAUCCCCACAAACAAACAAACAAACAAAAAAAACCCCUAGGAUUUGGACUUUUCUGGUAGGCAAUGAAUUGCAAUUCAAACCCAAGAAUUUCUAACCCUAAAAUACUUUGAGAAAGAGUCAAAUCAUCUACCUAUGCAGUCAUUCACUAAUGGCAUACUCAAAACUGCUGAAAAGACUCUUUAAUUUAAGUUGACUGUGAAAAUUACCCAUUGCUGUGUUACCUAAAGCAACCUCCAAGUGUUUCUCCAUAGGGGAAAAGCCCUGUGAUAAGAGAUAGUCCCUGAAGAUCUGAGAACAAAAGAUGGGCUGCAGCAUCUGCAUAUCAGGAAACGGUCCAUUACUCAUUAAUUGCUCCAUUUCCGUGCAUCAACGGGGGUCACCCUGUCACUGAGGACCAGCAAGAUUAUAACAAUAAUAUAAAUACUGCUUUAUUUACAAUUUUACAAGAAAACAACUUUCCAUGUUUGUUAUUAUAUAGAGACUGUUGGUUUGGUUUUUUUUUUCCAAGUUUCCACAAAUAAAACACUCUCAGAGGACA